AGUAACGCGUGGAUAACCUGCCUCACACUGGGGGAUAACAGUUAGAAAUGACUGCUAAUACCGCAUGAGCGCACAGUACCGCAUGGUACGGUGUGAAAAACUCCGGUGGUGUGAGAUGGAUCCGCGUCUGAUUAGCCAGUUGGCGGGGUAACGGCCCACCAAAGCGACGAUCAGUAGCCGACCUGAGAGGGUGACCGGCCACAUUGGGACUGAGACACGGCCCAG
rnacentral:rRNA from 1 species